rnacentral:snRNA from 1 species
AUCGCUUCUCGGCCUUUUGGCUAAGAUCAAGUGAAGAAUCUACAAGGGUAAUUACAUAAUGGUUUUUUAAAUUAGCCAGAGUUGUUCCUAAUUAUAACUGACUUUACAUUUUCAAGUGAAAAAUAUUU